rnacentral:rRNA from 1 species
GAUGAACGCUAGCGGGAGGCCUAACACAUGCAAGCCGAGCGGUAUUGUUUCUUCGGAAAUGAGAGAGCGGCGUACGGGUGCGUAACACGUGUGCAACCUGCCUUUAUCUGGGGGAUAGCCUUUCGAAAGGAAGAUUAAUACUCCAUAAUAUAUUGAACGGCAUCGUUUAAUAUUGAAAGCUCCGGCGGAUAGAGAUGGGCACGCGCAAGAUUAGCUAGUUGGUGAGGUAACGGCUCACCAAGGCGAUGAUCUUUAGGGGGCCUGAGAGGGUGAUCCCCACACUGGUACUGAGACACGGACCAGACUCCUACGGGAGGCAGCAGUGAGGAAUAUUGGUCAAUGGGUGCAAGCCUGAACCAGCCAUCCCGCGUGAAGGACGACUGCCCCAUGGGUUGUAAACUUCUUUUGUAUAGGGAUAAACCUACCCUCGUGAGGGUAGCUGAAGGUACUAUACGAAUAAGCACCGGCUAACUCCGUG